GUUUUUAUAAACAUAAAAUCACACUUUUUAUUUACUGAACAAUCUUAUAAUGAAACUUUAAUUUAAACAAAGUAAUAAUUGUAUGAAAAUCUUAUAAAAAGUAAAACUAAAUAAAGUUAAUUUUCAACUUUCAUAAAUAAAAGAUACUUGUUGUAAAAUAAAAAUAGAAUCUUUUGAGAAUAUUCUUUAUUAGAGACAAAGAUAGAGAAAUACAUUGGAGAGAAACACAUCUCUAUUUUAGAGUUAUCAUAUUUUAGAGAUAGAAAUAGGGGAAUACAUUGGAGAUGGUCUUAAACGAGGCAAACGAGCCCAACUUUAUUGGGCUUCAUAUAUUAAUAGCUAUGUUGGAAUUUGGCAGGCUACAAUUUAUUUUUUGGUAAAAAUAUUAAGAUAUUAUUACCAAUUUUCCAGUUUUUGACAGAAAUACAAAGGCGAC
rnacentral:lncRNA from 1 species